UACAGAGGGGGCAAGCGUUAUUCGGAAUUAUUGGGCGUAAAGGGCGCGUAGGCGGCUUGGCAAGUGGAAGGUGAAAUCCCUCGGCUUAACCGAGGAACUGCCCUCCAAACUGCUUCGCUUGAGACCGGGAGAGGUGAGUGGAAUUCCCAGUGUAGCGGUGAAAUGCGUAGAUAUCAGGAGGAACACCGGUGGUGUAGGCGGCUCACUGGACCGUAACUGACGCUGAGACACGAAAGCGUGGGUAGCAAACAGG
rnacentral:rRNA from 1 species